UACAGAGGGUGCAAGCGUCGUUCGGAAUUAUUGGGCGUAAAGCGCGUGUAGGCGGCUUUGCAAGUCGGGUGUGAAAGCCCUCAGCUUAACUGAGGAAGUGCGCCCGAAACUGCUUAGCUUGAGUACCGGAGAGGAUGGCGGAAUUCCCGAAGUAGAGGUGAAAUUCGUAGAUAUCGGGAGGAACACCGGUGGCGAAGGCGGCCAUCUGGACGGAUAUUGACGCUGAUGCGCGAAAGCCAGGGGAGCAAACGGG
rnacentral:rRNA from 1 species